GCUGGUGCUGCAGGUGCUGCUGCUGCUGCUGCUGAGCAGCAGCAGCAGCAGCAGCAGCAG
rnacentral:snoRNA from 1 species